AACGCGAAGAACCUUACCUGCCCUUGACAUGCCAGGAAGCCGGAUGAGAGUUCGGUGUGCCCGAAAGGGAGCCUGGACACAGGUGCUGCAUGGCUGUCGUCAGCUCGUGUCGUGAGAUGUUGGGUUAAGUCCCGCAACGAGCGCAACCCUUGUCACUAGUUGCUACGGAAACGGGCACUCUAGUGAGACUGCCGGUGACAAACCGGAGGAAGGUGGGGAUGACGUCAAGUCCUCAUGGCCCUUAUGGGUAGGGCUUCACACGUCAUACAAUGGCGCAUACAGAGGGCUGCCAACCCGCGAGGGGGAGCCAAUCCCAGAAAGUGCGUCAUAGUCCGGAUUGCAGUCUGCAACUCGACUGCAUGAAGUCGGAAUCGCUAGUAAUCGCGGAUCAGCAAUGUCGCGGUGAAUACGUUCC
rnacentral:rRNA from 1 species